UACGUAGGUGGCAAGCGUUGUCCGGAUUUACUGGGCGUAAAGAGCGCGCAGGCGGUCGUACAAGUCGCGUGUGAAAGCCCCCGGCUCAACUGGGGAGGGUCACGCGAUACUGUUCGACUCGAAGGCAGGAGAGGGAAGCAGAAUUCCCGGUGUAGUGGUGAAAUGCGUAGAUAUUAGGAAGAACACCAGUGGCGAAGGCGGGCUCACUGGUCCGGUACUGACGCUGAGGUGGCGAAAGC
rnacentral:rRNA from 1 species